GCAAACUUGGUCAUUUAGAGGAAGUAAAAGUCGUAACAAGGUCUCCGUUGGUGAACCAGCGGAGGGAUCAUUACUGAGACUUCAUCUCAACCCUUGUGAAUUUACUUAGUGUUGCUUCGGCAGGUUUUCCCUGGGAGGGAAUUAAUCCUUAGGGCAGCCUGCCAGAGGCAUUUUUACUCUGAUUUUAUGGAUUUCUGAGUUUAAAGAAAAAAGAAAAAAACUUUCAGCAACGGAUCUCUUGGUUCUGGCAUCGAUGAAGAACGCAGC
rnacentral:misc_RNA from 1 species